rnacentral:rRNA from 1 species
GUAUUAAAGGUCCCGCCUGCCCAGUGAAACUUCUUUUUCAACGGCCGCGGUAUUCUAACCGUGCAAAGGUAGCGUAAUCACUUGUCUUCUAAAUAAAGACCUGUAUGAACGGCUAAAUGAGGAUAAACCUGUCUCUUAUAACCAACCAGUGAAACUGAUCUCCCAGUACAAAAGCUGGGAUAAUUACAUAAGACGAGAAGACCCUGUGGAGCUUAAACAAACCACCAACUACAUCAACUAGUAUGGUAUAAUGUCUUAAGUUGGGGCGACUUCGGAAUAAACACAACUUCCGAGCACAGAACCACCACUUCAUAUCAAGGCCAACAAGCCAAAGUACUAACUUGACCCGGCCCACGCCGAUCAUCGAACCAAGUUACCCCAGGGAUAACAGCGCUAUCUUCUUCAAGAGUCCCUAUCAACAAGAAGGUUUACGACCUCGAUGUUGGAUCAGGACACCCAAAUGGUGCAGCCGCUAUUAAAGGUUCGUUUGUUCAACGAUUAACAGUCCUACGUGAUCUGAGUUCAGACCGGAGAAAUCCAGGUCGGUUUCU